GAUGAACGCUGGCGGCGUGCCUAAUACAUGCGAGUCGAGCGAACGGACGAGAAGCUUGCUUCUCUGAUGUUAGCGGCGGACGGGUGAGUAACACGUGGAUAACCUACCUAUAAGACUGGGAUAACUUCGGGAAACCGGAGCUAAUACCGGAUAAUAUUUUGAACCGCAUGGUUCAAAAGUGAAAGACGGUCUUGCUGUCACUUAUAGAUGGAUCCGCGCUGCAUUAGCUAGUUGGUAAGGUAACGGCUUACCAAGGCAACGAUGCAUAGCCGACCUGCGAGGAUGAUCGGCCACACUGGAACUGAGACACGGUCCAGACUCCUACGGGAGGCAGCAGUAGGGAAUCUUCCGCAAUGGGCGAAAGCCUGACGGAGCAACGCCGCGUGAGUGAUGAAGGUCUUCGGAUCGUAAAACUCUGUUAUUAGGGAAGAACAUAUGUGUAAGUAACUGUGCACAUCUUGACGGUACCUAAUCAGAAAGCCACGGCUAACUACGUG
rnacentral:rRNA from 1 species